UACCGAGGUCUCAAGCGUUGUUCGGAUUCAUUGGGCGUAAAGGGUGCGUAGGCGGCGCGGUAAGUCUGGUGUGAAAUCUUGGAGCUUAACUCCGAAACUGCAUUCGAUACUGCCGUGCUUGAGGACUGGAGAGGAGACUGGAAUUUACGGUGUAGCGGUGAAAUGCGUAGAUAUCGUAAGGAAGACCAGUGGCGAAGGCGGGUCUCUGGACAGUUCCUGACGCUGAGGCACGAAGGCCAGGGGAGCAAACGGG
rnacentral:rRNA from 1 species